GACGAACGCUGGCGGCGUGCUUAACACAUGCAAGUCGAACGGAAAGGCCCUGCUUUUGUGGGGUGCUCGAGUGGCGAACGGGUGAGUAACACGUGAGUAACCUGCCCUAGACUUUGGGAUAACUUCAGGAAACUGGGGCUAAUACCAGAUAGGAGCUCCUGCUGCUUGGUGGGGGUUGGAAAGUUUCGGCGAUUGGGAAUGGACUCGCGGCUUAUCAGCUUGUCGGUGGGGUAGUGGCUUAGGAAGGCUUUGACGGGUAGCCGGCCUGAGAGGGUGACCGGCCACAUUGUGACUGGGGUACGGCCCAGACUCCUACGGGAGGCAGCAGUGGGGAAUAUUGCACGAUGGGCGGAAGCCGGAUGCAGCAACGCCGCGUGCGGGAUGACGGCCUUCGGGUUGUAAACCGCUUUCGCCUGUGACGAAGCGUGAGUGACGGUAAUGGGUAAAGAAGCACCGGCUAACUACGUG
rnacentral:rRNA from 1 species